rnacentral:rRNA from 1 species
ACGGGGAGUACCACAACCGGUGGAGCCUGCGGUUUAAUUGGAUACAACGCCGGGAAUCUUACCGGAGGGGACAGCAGUAUGAAGGCCAGGCUAAAGACCUUGCCAGAUCAGCUGAGAGGAGGUGCAUGGCCGUCGCCAGUUCGUACCGUGAGGCAUCCUGUUUAGUCAGGCAACGAUCGAGACCCGCAGUCUUAUUUGCCAGCAUGCCCUUUGGGGUGUAUGGGUACAAUAAGACGACCGCCAGCGCUAAGCUGGAGGAAGGAGCGGGCUACGGUAGGUCAGCAUGCCCCGAAUCCUCCGGGAUACACGCGGGCUACAAUGGUUGGUACAAUGGGUAUCUACCCCGAAAGGGGACGGGAAUCUCCUAAAACCAAUCUUAGUUCGGAUUGAGGGCUGCAACUCGCCCUCAUGAAGCUGGAAUCCGUAGUAAUCGCGUUUCAACAGAACGCGGUGAAUACGUCCCUGCUCCUU